GAUGAACGCUGGCGGCGUGCCUAAUACAUGCAAGUCGAGCGAACGGACGAGAAGCUUGCUUUUCUGAUGCUAGCGGCGGACGGGUGAGUAACACGUGGAUAACCUACCUAUAAGACUGGGAUAACUUCGGGAAACCGGAGCUAAUACCGGAUAAUAUUUUGAACCGCAUGGUUCAAAAGUGAAAGACGGUCUUGCUGUCACUUAUAGAUGGAUCCGCGCUGCAUUAGCUAGUUGGUAAGGUAACGGCUUACCAAGGCAACGAUGCAUAGCCGACCUGAGAGGGUGAUCGGCCACACUGGAACUGAGACACGGUCCAGACUCCUACGGGAGGCAGCAGUAGGGAAUCUUCCGCAAUGGGCGAAAGCCUGACGGAGCAACGCCGCGUGAGUGAUGAAGGUCUUCGGAUCGUAAAACUCUGUUAUUAGGGAAGAACAUAUGUGUAAGUAACUGUGCACAUCUUGACGGUACCUAAUCAGAAAGCCACGGCUAACUACGUGCCAGCAGCCGCGGUAAUACGUAGGUGGCAAGCGUUAUCCGGAAUUAUUGGGCGUAAAGCGCGCGUAGGCGGUUUUUUAAGUCUGAUGCGAAAGCCCACGGCUCAACCGUGGAGGGUCAUUGGAAACUGGAAAACUUGAGUGCAGAAGAGGAAAGUGGAAUUCCAUGUGUAGCGGUGAAAUGCGCAGAGAUAUGGAGGAACACCAGUGGCGAAGGCGACUUUCUGGUCUGUAACUGACGCUGAUGUGCGAAAGCGUGGGGAUCANNCAGG
rnacentral:rRNA from 1 species